UUUUAAACUCCGAAUCUAUAAUCUUCCGUAAACGCCAAACUCACACACCUUGUUUGCCUCGUGUAGAAGGACAAGGUGCUCCAAACUAAUCCAUCCACCAACUCACUCGCGGGAAUUCAAGUAGGAAAAGCUUGCAACCACCACACAUGCCAUGUUGAUGAGGAUGAUGCUAAGAAAAGAAGUAGCGUUGAUGCCUAGAUACA
rnacentral:lncRNA from 1 species